rnacentral:rRNA from 7 species
AGACCCGAAACCCGGUGAUCUAGCCAUGGGCAGGUUGAAGGUUGGGUAACACUAACUGGAGGACCGAACCGACUAAUGUUGAAAAAUUAGCGGAUGACCUGUGGCUGGGGGUGAAAGGCCAAUCAAACCGGGAGAUAGCUGGUUCUCCCCGAAAGCUAUUUAGGUAGCGCCUCGUGAAUUCAUCUCCGGGGGUAGAGCACUGUUUCGGCUAGGGGGCCAUCCCGGCUUACCAACCCGAUGCAAACUGCGAAUACCGGAGAAUGUUAUCACGGGAGACACACGGCGGGUGCUAACGUCCGUCGUGAAGAGGGAAACAACCCAGACCGCCAGCUAAGGUCCCAAAGUCAUGGUUAAGUGGGAAACGAUGUGGGAAGGCCCAGACAGCCAGGAUGUUGGCUUAGAAGCAGCCAUCAUUUAAAGAAAGCGUAAUAGCUCACUGGUCGAGUCGGCCUGCGCGGAAGAUGUAACGGGGCUAAACCAUGCACCGAAGCUGCGGCAGCGAACGUAUCACUUAAAGCGAUUCAGCGGGUUACGAUUGACGGAGCGAAGCGACGUCAAAGCGUAUACAAAGUCGAGUCGGUUUAAGGAUACGUUCGUUGGGUAGGGGAGCGUUCUGUAAGCCUGUGAAGGUGGCCUGUGAGGG